AAAAAAACCAAUUUUCCACUUUUUACCUUCAAUUUUUGACUUUUCGUCUUAUUUAAUUUUUUUGUGAUUAAUUUUUUUUAUUAGAUGAUAAAUCAUAAAUAGUAAUUUACAUGUGACUAAUUUUUUUCUAAUUUUCUGAAAUUUUUCAAAUAAAACAGAUGGUCAAACGUUGGACACAGAAAUCGGAGAAUUCGUUUUUU
rnacentral:pre_miRNA from 1 species